CCUCCGGGGCUCCGGGGCUCGCGCUGCCCGCGCGGCCUGUGAGCGCCAGCCAAGGGGGAGGGACCUGGGCGCGGGGGCGCGGAGCCCCCGGGAGCGGCGCGCGCCGCGGGGGGCUGGGGGCGGGGGGCAGGGGAGGGGGCCGCGUUUCUGACUUAAUGCUGGAACCAUCCACGUCACGUGUAACCCCGAGCGGGUUAACCCCUCGGAGUCCGGGAACCCCCCUCCCCCCAUUCACCCAGAGCCCAGUCCCAGGCAGCUCAGGAGAUGAUGAAGCAACCUCCUCUCUAGGGCGGGAUCCCUUUGUCUGCCCAUCCAGUUAUCAGUUUACUGUGGAGAAUGCAAAUAUCACCCAGGAAAAUGUCACCAGCAAUUUAAACCAGGCAGUCUGGAUAAAAGGCUGA
rnacentral:lncRNA from 13 species